rnacentral:rRNA from 1 species
AUUGAACGCUGGCGGCAUGCCUUACACAUGCAAGUCGAACGGCAGCACGGGAGCAAUCCUGGUGGCGAGUGGCGAACGGGUGAGUAAUGUAUCGGAACGUGCCCAGCCGUGGGGGAUAACGUAGCGAAAGCUACGCUAAUACCGCAUACGAUCUGUGGAUGAAAGCGGGGGACCGUAAGGCCUCGCGCGAUUGGAGCGGCCGAUAUCAGAUUAGGUAGUUGGUGGGGUAAAGGCCUACCAAGCCGACGAUCUGUAGCUGGUCUGAGAGGACGACCAGCCACACUGGGACGGAGACACGGCCCAGACUCCUACGGGAGGCAGCAGUGGGGAAUUUUGGACAAUGGGCGCAAGCCUGAUCCAGCAAUGCCGCAUGCAGGAUGAAGGCCUUCGGGUUGUAAACUGCUUUUGUACGGAGCGAAAAGGCUCUCUCUAAUACAGGGGGCUCAUGACGGUACCGUAAGAAUAAGCACCGGCUAACUACGUGCCAGCCGCCGCCGUAA